UUUCAGCAAUGAGUUAUCAAACGGACCCUAGAUCUAAGAACAAACGGACCCUUUACUUGUUUUUUCCGUUUUAUAUCUUUAACUUGGUUUCACCGCUUCCCUCGCACUUGAGAAUAAAGUACCAAAAAAUUCCUUUACCCGGUAAAAUAAAUCCUCCUGAAUUAUUUUAAUUCCCCGCGACUCACGCCAAAAAAAAAUGUCAAUAUCCCCACCCACCACCACCACCACCACCAAUAACAACAGCACUGCCGCCACCGUCGCCGGAGCUACCAACUCCACCACCGUCCACCACCAGACUUACUGGUGCCAUGAAUGUGACAUGAGUGUCCUCCUCGAACCUCUCUGCUCCUCCACCCCUUCCACCACCUCCACCACCACUUUUCCACCUAUCUGCCCUCACUGCCGCCAUGACUUUCUUGAACAAAUGGACUCCUUCACCCCUUCUCCCCAUCCCAACCCCACCAAUCUCUACCCAAAUCCCCUAUCAUUCUUUGAACCCUUUUCCCCAAUGGAUCCCAUAAGCCCCUCCGAAGACACCUUCCUCCUGGAAAGCCCAUAUCUCCACCGCCUCAUCCACCACCUCAUGACCAACGCCAACAACAUCCCCAACCAAACCAACCCCACCCCACCUCAAUUCAACUCCCCAGCUUCCAAACAUGCUAUAGAAUCCCUCAGCCAUGUAAUUGUAGACUCUGCAUUUCUUGAUUUAGAUCCCUCUUUAGUCUGCCCAGUCUGUAAAGACCAGUUUCAUGUAUCUUCUGAGGCAAAAGUAUUGCCUUGUAAUCAUACUUAUCAUGCUGAUUGCAUUGUCCCCUGGCUCGAGAUGAAUAAUUCGUGCCCGGUUUGUAGGUACAGGCUCCCUAGCGAGUCUGAUGAGAGGAAAAAGAAUGAGGCAGUACGGGGGAGGGAGACUUUUAUUGGGGCGGCGAGGUUGGAUGAGUUGUUGGAUGAUGAGCAAGAUUUAUUCGGGUUUACUAGUAUUUUGAGGAAUGUUGUGAGGAGGCAACAGUAUAACAAUGGAAAUGAUGAUGAGGAGUAUAGUAGCAGUUGGAAUAGGAGGGUUCAGUGGGAUAAUGACGUUUUGUUAUCGCCAACGCAGAUUGGGGAGGCUGAGGGUGUUGGUGUGGGUGGUGGAAUUGGGGCUCAUGUAGAGAGGGCUAAUAGUGCGGAGACUGUGUCCAGUUGGCCGAGGUGGCCAACGGAGGGCGGUGCUAGCGGGAGUGGAAGUGGAGAUGGGGAGACUGGUGUUGGUGUGGCUGGUGGAGAGGCAGUGAUAAAGGGGGAUGCUGUGAGGCCUUGAGUUUUGGGAAGUCUUUAUUCAAGCCAUUCUGCAUAGAAGAUUAGAGAUAAGCUUAAAAAAGACAAAUGAUCAAAAUCUGAAAUUUUUUCGUGCGUCAGCCCCAUUUGCAGAUUAUGUAUAGGCUAUAGCUCUUAGGUGCCGGCACGUAAAUUGCCUAGCCAUGUCUAAAUGACAUUGAAGGAUGAGGCUUCUUUGCAAUAAUAUGAUGUCAAGUGUAUAGAGCUCCUCUUAUUUUCACCUCCUGAUACAGAGUUGACAGGAGUCAAAGUAUUGGUUGUAAUAAACUUGUAUGCACCAAUUAUUCCUGAAACUUUGAUUUAUUUUCUUUCAAACCGAGAUAGAGCAGGAUUUGAUGUUAAAAUUUAGGACAGUUACAUUUCAUCAUUUAAAAAGCUAUAAAAGUUUUGGUUGGUAAGGCUAUGGUGAUC